rnacentral:rRNA from 1 species
UACGGAGGGUGCAAGCGUUAUCCGGAUUCGCUGGGUUUAAAGGGUGCGUAGGUGGGCAGGUAAGUCAGUGGUGAAAUCUCCGAGCUUAACUCGGAAACUGCCGUUGAUACUAUUUGUCUUGAAUAUUGUGGAGGUAAGCGGAAUAUGUCAUGUAGCGGUGAAAUGCUUAGAUAUGACAUAGAACACCAAUUGCGAAGGCAGCUUACUACACAAUGAUUGACGCUGAGGCACGAAAGCGUGGGGAUCAAACAGG